GAGAGCGUGAGCCAAUGGUUAGCCUGCGCGCGCUUCUCACUUUGUGGGUUGCCAUCUCAGCUAAUACUUGUCGUUAUUAACACGGAAUGUUUCCUCAUUUCUUAUCGCGUGCCUGAGGUGAGAAGGUGAACAGACAACAGUGCCCUGCUUAGUGUGUGUCAGGUGUUUUAAGCGUGUCAGAGUGAGAGAAGGAGUGUAAAGGGUGAAGGAGAUAAAGAGGGAGGGAAGGACAGACGCCAUUUCCUUCAUUUACUCCUCCCUCUUCCUUCACUUCCUGCAGGCUCCACUCUCGCCUCUGUUCUGCUGCCGCCGCCUCGUGCCUGGUCGCCCUGUGGUUACCCCCAUUACCCAUCACCCCGUCACCCCAUCACGUCGGAGACACCCUUAAGCCCUUGCGAGAGGCUCAGGGGGGUGGCAAAGGGAGUACUGCAGGGGGAUAGACCUUUUCUUUUUGGGGUCUUGAGGGAUGCGCUGAGCUCUACCCGUGGACCGUGGACCCUUGCCGCUGCUGCCUGCUCCUGACGCCCCUCCGAGGUCUUGCCUACUGGAUUAGGGUCUGACAUGAGCCGCCGUCAAGCCAGGCUGCAGUGGGUCCAGCUUUCAACACACGCGUGGAUUACAGCGGACCUCGCCAGCUCACACAUCCAUCCGCUAAUGCCCAUUAUGCGCCGGCGGUAAUCGCAUGGACAUAACGGAAGGCAUAAAUAAGGACAAAGGUGUGAAGGCCGGGAUGUGGGAUGGUCAGGUGUGCGGGGCGACAGGUGAGGCGCGGCGGGUUUGACCACUCACCGGUAAUUAGUCCGCGGCACGUGUGUUACCUGCGCUGUCAGUUCACGCAAGCUUUGUGCCGGCUCUGUAAGGUUCUGGAAGGUCAUUUCUCCGUACUCUGUUUCCUGCAAAUGUCAUGGAAGGUUUACUGUCAUGUACGCGUGGCCGCCCUGCUGGAGCCUUCCCCUCUCUCUCUCCCCUCGCUGCGCCACAAGAGAGAGAGAGAGAAACCACAACGACAACCAUUCCUUCAUCCGUAUACCGUAACUGGCCUUACAUAUACGUGUACUGUCGACAGGAGGGGAACGAAAACAAACAAGAAUGACACACGUUGGAACAUGUUGAGGUUCUGUAUAUACCCUUACACUACAGUGGGAGGGACUGGAAUUGCUGGAAGAGACUGGAAUGAGAGUGAAACGGUCUGGAAGGGAAAUAGAGAAAGAUGAAAGGAUAAGAAUGAAGAUAGAAAUGGGAAUAAAGACACAGAUGAGAGUAGAGAUGGAACAGGAUGAAUAGAAAGAACUGGAAAUUAGUAGAAAGAGACUGGACAGGACUGGAAGGGAAGUUGUGAGAGAUGGAAGGGAAAGGAGACAGAAAUAGAACAAAAACAAGGAUCGGAGUAAAGAUCAAACAAAAUGAAUAGAGAGGAACUGGAAGGGACUGGAAAGGAAAUGUGGUGAGAUGGAAAAGUAGGAAGGGAGACGAAAAUAAACCAGAAAUAGGGAUGACAGUAAGGAUGGGACAGGAGGAAGAGAAAGAGACAGAAAAGGAACUGGAAAGAGAAAUAAUGAGAGAUGUGAUGAGGACAGGAGGAAGAGAAAGAGAUGGAAAAGGAACUGGAAAAUAACUGGAAAAAGAAAUAAUGAAAGAUGUGAAGGUAGAAAGACUAAGAAUGAGACAAGAGGCAAAAUAACUCCUAGAAAUGCGCUGAAAAGGAAACCACGAGAAAUGGAAGGCUACGGAUGAGAGAGAGAGAGAGAGAGAGAGAGAGAGAGAGAGAGAGAGAGAGAGAGAGAGAGAGAGAGAGAGAGAGAGGAGAGUAAGGGUGGUGAUAGUAGUGGUGGUAGUGGUGGUAGUGAGGGUGGUGGUGCAGCAUCAUAUAUCUUCUCUAUCUGUGGUGCUGCUCGUGGGACCUUGGCAGUGGGGCGCGUGGGAGGGAGACAAAUAGGAAGACACAUUUAUUCGGACACUGGGAGAUGGACUUAGAUUGUGCGACUGGCCUGAGGUAGACAGGCGUAGGUUAGGACACUGCCACACACACGUAAAGUUGAAGUUUCUGGCAAAGGGGGAGGCAGGGAAGGGAAAGGAGAGAGGCAGAGUGGAUGAAUGUAUAUAUUUGUACCCAGGAUUGAAGGACUCAUGGAAAGAAAGUUUGAAAUUGAGGGUUUUUGUAAGGGAGUCUUUGUAUGGUGGACGUAUUGUUGAUCUAGUGGGCAGCGUUGGACGAGGUACAUGGAAGUUUUAAUGAAGUUUCAGCGAGGGAGGGAGGGAGGAAGGAAAGAUGUGUGUGUUUGUACCCAUAUCUGAAAGAGUGGAAGUUUUCUGUACCAGUUUCUUGAGUUUUUAUAAUCUAGGCAGGGACUUUGAUUAGGUGAACUUUCAAGGAGAGAGGCAAAGACGCGUAUGAGAAGCUGAAAGAAAUGGAUGACAGAAACAUUUUGUAUAACCUAAUAUUCCUAUUAUUGGGACAAUUUAAAGCUUAUGGACGCUGAUUUGAUAAGAUACAGGAAUUUCAGGGAAGUUUCUAAGAGGGAGGAAGGAAGUAAAUUAGAAGGGAUACAUAUCAAAAACUACCAAAAAAUUAAGGAGUUUGUAUAUGGAAAGAUGAAAGAACUAAAGAAAAUCAUAAGAAAUUAAACAUCGCACCGGCUUUUCAUUCUAUUUUUUGUUGGUCUUUUGCGUGAUUUUGAUAAGUGCUAGAAAUUGCAAUGAAGUUUCAGGGAAGGAAGGAAAUAUAUCUACAUUGGUGUCCCGAAACAUUUCAACCAUUGUAUAGCAUAUUUUUCCCCCCUUUUCCCCUCUUUUAUGCAAUUUCUGACAAGUGUAAUGAUGCUUCAGGAAGGAAAUAAGGAAAAUUGUCUAUGUUUAUAUAAAAGAAAAAAAAAAACACCAAAUCUUAUAGAAACUCAGUGAAUGGACAUCUUAUGUAACCUAUUUUCGUCAGACGCUGUUAAUCCGAGAGGCAUUUUUUCAGGAAGGUACCGUAACAACACAAACACACAAUGGACAUUCACUUUACUAUACCAAACACAGAGGGCAGCAGCAGUCUUGUAGCGGCAACAAUAGAAGCAUAGAGUAGAGCGUUUCUAUAGAAGGUUAUACUAAAGGUUUUUUUUUUUUUUUUAAGCCGAGUACAAGUGAAGGACUGCAGUGAGGAGUGAGGCAUGGGUAGGUCAAAGGUCGUAGAAUUUAGACAUAGAUAUAAGAGUGAGUGAUGAAAUAAGAGAAAUAAGAGAAAUAAGUGGAUGAGUAGAAUGAAUAUAUGAAUGAGUAAAUGAGGAAUAGUAGAAUGAAUACACUAAUAUGAAGUAGGUAAGUAGAAUGAGAAAAAAAAUAGUAGAAUGAAAACAAAUAAAGAAAUGAGUAGGCGAUUAAUAGAAAGAGAGAAAAAAAGAAAAUAGAAGGAAUAAGUCAGAAGGAAUGCAAUUGAAAACUCUGAGGGAAAAUAAGUAAAUAAGAAAAAAAGAAAAACUGAAAGAAGAACGAAAACAAGAAAGAGAUAGAUAGAUAAAAAAACGAGAAAAAUAUAAGUAAUUGAAUUUCAAGUAAUAUUAAAAAAAGAUGAAGAAAAAAUUGAUAAAACGCAAAGAAGGACGAAAACAAGAAAGAGAUCGAUAAACACACACACACACACACACACACACACACACACACCAACGAAAAAAAAUAUAUAUACACUAAAUUUCAAGAAGUAACAUUAAAAUACAAAAUUACUCAGACGCAAACCCAGAAAUGACGAAUUAUUAAUAUUACUUCGUGGAAAGGAGAGGAGGAGAAAUUAAUUGACCAGAACCAUAUAUUGUAAAUGUGGCAAAUUGAGUGACUCGCUGGAAUAAGAAAUUGCUUGAAAGAUAAAGAAAAGAAAUUGAAAGGCAGGGACAUAUUGGCGAACCGAGAUAGAACGGAAGAAAGAGAGGGAAAUUAUACCUGAUAAAUCACAGGAAUGGGGGAAGAGGAAGAGGAGAGGACAAGGAUAAAUAUGCUGCCCAGAUUGCUAGAUUACAGAGCGCCAUUUGCAGAGAGAGAGAGAGAGAGAGAGAGAGAGAGAGAGAGAGAGGAGAGAGAGAGGGGGGGGACGAAUAGACUAAAAGAUGAAAGAAGGAAAGAAUUUACGAAGUAGCAUUAAGAAAAAAGUAAAAGGAGAAGAGAAGAAUAAAAGAAGGGGAGGAGGAAGGAAAAAAAGAGUUACAAAAACUUAGAGUGAGAAAAACAGGAGAGAAGAAAAGAAACUUAAACGCCAAAAGAAAGAAAGAAAGA